rnacentral:lncRNA from 1 species
UAGAAUUGAUUACAAAUUUUAUUUUUGAAACGAAAACAUUUAUCUGGAUCAUAAUAGUGAAUAUUUUAUUUAAUAUUAAAAAAUUACAGACAAUUUAAAUUAAUAAUAUAGAUCGAUCAUAAUAAUUAAUAUGUAGUUAAAAAAACAAAUACAUUUUUACUUACAAUAGUAAUUACCAUUAAUCUAAUAAGAUAAAAAAUAUCAUACAAUUUUUUUU